rnacentral:rRNA from 1 species
GUUCGCCUUCCCGGAGACGGUGCGAGCGCGAAUGCUGUGCUGCAAUCUAAAGUCUAAAACGACUCUCGGCAACGGAUAUCUCGGCUCUCGCAUCGAUGAAGAACGUAGCGAAAUGCGAUACUUGGUGUGAAUUGCAGAAUCCCGUGAACCAUCGAGUCUUUGAACG